UGGGGAAUCUUCCGCAAUGGACGAAAGUCUGACGGAGCAACGCCGCGUGAGUGAAGAAGGUUUUCGGAUCGUAAAACUCUGUCUUUUGGGGCGAACGUGAGUAUGGUGAACAAUCAUAGUCAGUGACGGUACCAAAGGAGGAAGCCACGGCUAACUACGUGCCAGCAGCCGCGGUAAUACGUAGGUGGCAAGCGUUGUCCGGAAUUAUUGGGCGUAAAGAGCGCGUAGGCGGGAUAGUCAGUCUGUUGUAAAGUGCGGGCUCAACCCCGUGAUGGCAAUGGAAACAGCUAUUCUUGAGUGCAGGAGAGGAAAGUGGAAUUCCCAGUGUAGCGGUGAAAUGCGUAGAUAUUGGGAGGAACACCAGUGGCGAAGGCGACUUUCUGGACUGUGUCUGACGCUGAGGCGCGAAAGCCAGGGGAGCGAACGGGAUUAGAUACCCCGGUAGUCCUGGCCGUAAACGAUGGGUACUAGGUGUGGGGGGUAUCGACCCCUUCCGUGCCGGAGUUAACGCAAUAAGUACCCCGCCUGGGGAGUACGGUCGCAAGACUGAAACUCAAAUGAAUUGACGGGGUCAUAGCUGUUUCCUG
rnacentral:rRNA from 1 species